rnacentral:rRNA from 1 species
CCUACGGGAGGCAGCAGUGGGGAAUAUUGGUCAAUGGGCGCUAGCCUGAACCAGCAAAGUAGCGUGAAGGAUGACUGCCCUCUGGUUUGUAAACUUCUUUUAUAUGGACGUAAAAUGCGGUGUGUAUACUGCUUUACGUGUACCUUAUGAAUGAGGAUCGACUAGCUCCGUGCCGGAGGCCGCGGUAAUACGUAGGAUCCGUGCGUUGUACGGAUUUAUUGGGUGUAAAGGGAGCGUAGGCGGGUUGGUAAGUCAGUUGUGAAAGUUUGCGGCUCAACCGUAGGACUGCAGUUGAGACUGGUAUUCUUGAGUACAGGAGAGGCAGGCGGAAUUCGGGGUGUAGCGGUGAAAUGCGUAGAUAUCACGAAGAACUCCGAUUGCGAAGGCAGAUUGCUGGACUGUAACUGACGCUGAUGCUCGAAAGCGUGGGUAUCAAACAGGAUUAGAUACCCGAGUAGUC